rnacentral:rRNA from 1 species
CCUACGGGGGGCAGCAGUGGGGAAUAUUGCGCAAUGGGCGAAAGCCUGACGCAGCGACGCCGCGUGAGGGAUGAAGGUCUUCGGAUCGUAAACCUCUGUCAGCAGGGAAGAACGGUCACUGUGCUAAUCAGCAGUGAAUUGACGGUACCUGCAAAGGAAGCACCGGCUAACUCCGUGCCAGCAGCCACGGUAAUACGGAAGGUGCGAGCGUUAAUCGGAAUUACUGGGCGUAAAGCGCUCGUAGGCGGUAGGUCAAGUCAAGGGUGAAAGCCCCGCGCUCAACGUGGGAACUGCCUUUGAAACUGGCAAACUGGAGUGUGUGAGAGGAUAGUGGAAUUCCAGGUGUAGGAGUGAAAUCCGUAGAUAUCUGGAGGAACAUCAGUGGCGAAGGCGACUAUCUGGCACAUAACUGACGCUGAGGAGCGAAAGCGUGGGUAGCAAACAGGAUUAGAUACCCUAGUAGUC